GGAUGCGAUCAUACCAGCACUAAAGCACCGGAUCCCAUCAGAACUCCGAAGUUAAGCGUGCUUGGGCGAGAGUAGUACUAGGAUGGGUGACCUGCUCGGAAGUCCUCGUGUUGCAUUCU
rfam:Triticum aestivum genome assembly, contig: Triticum_aestivum_CS42_TGACv1_scaffold_396306_5AS